rnacentral:rRNA from 1 species
UACGUAGGGGGCAAGCGUUGUCCGGAUUUAUUGGGCGUAAAGAGCUCGUAGGUGGUUUGGUAAGUCGGAUGUGAAAUCUCCAGGCUCAACCUGGAGGGGUCAUUCGAUACUGCCAUGACUAGAGGUCGGUAGGGGAGUGUGGAAUUCCUGGUGGAGCGGUGAAAUGCGCAGAUAUCAGUAGGAACACCAGUGGCGAAGGCGGUCUCCUGGGGCAUUCUUGACGCUGAGGCGCGAAAGCUGGGGGAGCAAACGGG